CCCUUUUAUUUACUUGUGAUUCAUUUAAAAACUUUGUAUCACAGUAAGUAGAUGGGGA
rnacentral:pre_miRNA from 1 species